GCAUAUCAAUAAGCGGAGGAAAAGAAACCAACAGGGAUUGCCUCAGUAGCGGCGAGUGAAGCGGCAAGAGCUCAGAUUUGAAAUCUCACCUAGUGUGCGAGUUGUAAAUUGCAGGUUGGAGUCUCGGGUUAGACGUGUGUGCAAGUCCCUUGGAACAGGGUGCCACUGAGGGUGAGAGCCCCGUAGCGUGCAUGUCGACACCUGUGAGGCCCUUCUGACGAGUCGAGUUGUUUGGGAAUGCAGCUCUAAGUGGGUGGUAAAUUCCAUCUAAGGCUAAAUAUUGGCGAGAGACCGAUAGCGAACAAGUACUGUGAAGGAAAGAUGAAAAGCACUUUGAAAAGAGAGUGAAACAGCACGUGAAAUUGUUGAAAGGGAAGGGUAUUGGGCUCGACAUGGGAUUUACGCAUCGUUGCCUCUCGUGGGCGGCGCUCUGGGUUUUUCCUGGGCCAGCAUCGGUUUUCGUUGCAGGAUAAGGACAAUUGGAAUGUGGCUCCUCGGAGUGUUAUAGCCUUUUGUAGAUGCUGCGUAUGGGGACCGAGGGCUGCGGCGGACUCGUU
rnacentral:rRNA from 1 species